AUUGAACGCUGGCGGCAUGCCUUACACAUGCAAGUCGAACGGCAGCACGGGUGCUUGCACCUGGUGGCGAGUGGCGAACGGGUGAGUAAUACAUCGGAACAUGUCCUGUAGUGGGGGAUAGCCCGGCGAAAGCCGGAUUAAUACCGCAUACGAUCCACGGAUGAAAGCGGGGGACCUUCGGGCCUCACGCUAUAGGGUUGGCCGAUGGCUGAUUAGCUAGUUGGUGGGGUAAAGGCCUACCAAGGCGACGAUCAGUAGCUGGUCUGAGAGGACGACCAGCCACACUGGGACUGAGACACGGCCCAGACUCCUACGGGAGGCAGCAGUGGGGAAUUUUGGACAAUGGGCGAAAGCCUGAUCCAGCAAUGCCGCGUGUGUGAAGAAGGCCUUCGGGUUGUAAAGCACUUUUGUCCGGAAAGAAAUCCUUGGCUCUAAUACAGUCGGGGGAUGACGGUACCGGAAGAAUAAGCACCGGCUAACUACGUG
rnacentral:rRNA from 1 species